UGAAAGCUCACCAGUCUCACUCUGCA
rnacentral:piRNA from 1 species